UACGGGGGGGGCAAGCGUUGUUCGGAAUUACUGGGCGUAAAGGGCUCGUAGGUGGCCAACUAAGUCAGACGUGAAAUCCCUCAGCUUAACCGGGGAACUGCGUCUGAUACUGGAUGGCUUGAGUGUGGGAGAGGGAUGCGGAAUUCCAGGUGUAGCGGUGAAAUGCGUAGAUAUCUGGAGGAACACCGGUGGCGAAGGCGGCAUCCUGGACCACGACUGACGCUGAGUGAGCGAAAGCCAGGGGAGCAAACGGG
rnacentral:rRNA from 1 species